GAUGAAGAACGUAGCGAAAUGCGAUACUUGGUGUGAAUUGCAGAAUCCCGUGAACCAUCGAGUCUUUGAACGCAAGUUGCGCCUCAAGCCAUUAGGUUGAGGGCACGUCUGCCUGGGCGUCACAUAUCGUUGCCUGAUGCCAGUUUCCUCGUGAUGGGUGACUGUGCAGGGCGAAUGAUGGCUUCCCGUGAGCAUUGUUGCCUCAUGGUUGGUUGAAAAUUGAGUCCUUGGUAGGGAGCGCCGUGAUAGAUGGUGGUUGAGUGACGAACGAGACCAAUCAUGUGAGACCCCUACCGAAUUUGGCCUUCAUGACCCACAUGCGUCUUUGGAACGCUCAUGACGAGACCUCAGGUCAGGCGGGGCUACCCGCUGAGUUUAAGCAUAUCAAUAAGCGGAGGA
rnacentral:misc_RNA from 1 species